AAAGGUUGACUUGCAAGCAAUUCGUGAAAAAGUCUCAUGCCAGCUAGUGAUAAACAAAUUUAAUGAGCAACAGGUGCCAAUAGCACGAGAAUUCAUUUCGAAGCAUGCUCCACAUCUUCUUCAUUGAUUAAGUUAGCAAUUUAUUUUCAAGGAGACAGAUGAUGUAUUGAAAUUCUUUCCAGAGAAGCAUGCAGAUGAUCAUCUUUGUCAAGUUACAAGCACUGAUAUGUUCCUUUGCGAGAGGUUCUCACCAUUUGAGUUUUCAUAUAUAUCAGAUGAACAAAUUUUGACAUCACGAGACAGUUUUCCCUUGUAAUAAACAUAUUUUUCCAUACAUCUUUGUCUUAUGUAGCUUAUUUGUCUUAUGUAUACUUGGCAUUUCAAGUAGACAGAUUUUCCAUGUACCUGUAACUUUUUUUCA